CCUUAGGUAGGAUCCUGGGACCUAGAGGACUCAUACCGAACCCAAAGGCUGGUACUGUCACUACAAAUAUACCUCAGGUAAGGGUGUACACUCCAUGUCAAGACGAGGAAGAGAACCUCUUUCACAAUUAAUACAAGUAAUGCCAUACAAUUUCAGAUAGCUAGUGGGGGAUAUCAUUCUCUAACUUUGACGGGUAGAUUACUGUGAAACUACUUUAUCUUACAUGUAUCUCUCAUCUAUGUAUCUGAACUUCUUACAUUAAAAGUCAGCCCCUAUUAAGGGUAAACAUGUCA